rnacentral:rRNA from 1 species
AUACGGAGGGUGCAAGCGUUGUCCGGAUUUAUUGGGUUUAAAGGGUGCGUAGGUGGCGUGUUAAGUCAGGGGUGAAAGCCUGCAGCUCAACUGGAGAGGUGCCAUUGAUACUGACAUGCUUGAGUAUGGACGAGGUAGGCGGAAUUUGUGGUGCAGCGGUGAAAUGCAUAGAUACCACAAAGAACACCGAUAGCGAAGGCAGCUUACUGGACCAUAACUGACACUGAGGCACGAAAGUGUGGGUAGCGAACAGGAUUAGAUACCCUAGUAGUCC